rnacentral:lncRNA from 1 species
AGGAUGAAGAGUCAUCGUCCUCAUUCUAAGAGUUUGAGGUAGUGUCUAAGAAGUCUACAGUGGUCUGUAGAGCUGCAUCUGCUCUUCUGGCAUUGUCCCUGCCAACAGCCAUGCAGACUGGGGGCCAGAGCCAGGAGGAAAAUGAAGGGCCUGCAUUGAUACCACUGAGAACUCAGCCUUCAGGAACUGGUAAAUGACUUUUUUUAACCUCUGGAGAUAAACUGGACAGACUGGAGCCAGUAUCAAGACAGUCCUUCCAACUCUACUUUCCCAGCAACUAGUAGCAAUCCACAGCUCCAAGGAUAUGAAACCACCAGGGAAGCCCUCAGCACAUUUUCACAAGAAUCUGUUUUGAGUGAGUUUGAUUGCCAGCUCCCAAGCCAAUCCAGCCAUCUGAGCCAAGACCCCACAUUCCAUUCAUCUUAGA